ACGGCUCAGUAACACGUGGAUAACCUGCCCUAAGGAAGGGGAUAACCUCGGGAAACUGAGGAUAAUACCCUAUAGGAUACCGACGCUGGAAUGCCCGGUAUCCCAAAGCUCCGGCGCCUUAGGAUGGAUCUGCGGCCGAUUAGGUCGUUGUUGGGGUAACGGCCCAACAAGCCGAUAAUCGGUACGGGUUGUGGGAGCAAGAGCCCGGAGUUGGAUUCUGAGACACGAAUCCAGGCCCUACGGGGCGCAGCAGGCGCGAAAACUUUACAAUGCGGGCAACCGUGAUAAGGGAACCUCGAGUGCCUGUACAUGCAGGCUGUCUGGGUGUCUAAAACACACCCAAAGAAAGGGCCGGGCAAGACCGGUGCCAGCCGCCGCGGUAAUACCGGCGGCUCGAGUGGUGGCCACUUUUAUUGGGCUUAAAGCGUUCGUAGCUGGGUUGUUAAGUCUCUUGGGAAAUCUGGCAGCUUAACUGUCAGGCGUCUAAGAGAUACUGGCAAUCUAGGAACCGGGAGAGGUGAGGGGUACUUCGGGGGUAGGAGUGAAAUCCUGUAAUCCUCGAGGGACCACCUGUGGCGAAGGCGCCUCACCAGAACGGCUUCGACAGUGAGGGACGAAAGCUGGGGGAGCAAACCGGAUUAGAUACCCGGGUAGUCCCAGCCGUAAACGAUGCGCGUUAGGUGUGUCGAUGACCACGAGUCAUCGAGGUGCCGAAGGGAAACCGUGAAACGCGCCGCCUGGGAAGUACGGUCGCAAGGCUGAAACUUAAAGGAAUUGGCGGGGGAG
rnacentral:rRNA from 1 species